GACGAACGCUGGCGGCGUGCUUAACACAUGCAAGUCGAACGGAAAGGCCCUGCUUUUGUGGGGUGCUCGAGUGGCGAACGGGUGAGUAACACGUGAGUAACCUGCCCCUGACUUUGGGAUAACUUCAGGAAACUGGGGCUAAUACCGGAUAGGAGCUCCUGCUGCAUGGUGGGGGUUGGAAAGUUUCGGCGGUUGGGGAUGGACUCGCGGCUUAUCAGCUUGUUGGUGGGGUAGUGGCUUACCAAGGCUUUGACGGGUAGCCGGCCUGAGAGGGUGACCGGCCACAUUGGGACUGAGAUACGGCCCAGACGCCUACGGGAGGCAGCAGUGGGGAAUAUUGCGGAAUGGGCGGAAGCCUGAUGCAGCAACGCCGCGUGCGUGAUAACGACCUUCGGGUUGUAAACCGCUUUCGCCGGUGACGAAGCGUGAGUGACGGUAAUGGGUAAAGAAGCACCGGCUAACUACGUG
rnacentral:rRNA from 1 species